rnacentral:lncRNA from 1 species
ACGAUGGUGCAAAGAUUAAAGAUCUCUGAAUAUAUACAAGUAAUUUAUUUGAUAUGCUACGAGAAUUUAAAAUCUGAUCAUAUAUAUCAAAAAUAUUUUUGAUAUAUCUCAAAUGAAAAGAAAAAAAUAACAUAGUAGAGACGGAAGAAAAAGAAAAUUUCAGAUUAUCAUAAUUGAAUUGAAAAAAAUGAAAUCAACACGUAGAGCCAUCCCUUCGACAAAGAGAUUUGGG